GAUACAAUGAUGGGUUAUGAUAGGAGGUAGGAUCAAGGAUACAGUGAUGGGUUAUGAUAGGAGGUAGGAUCAAGGAUACAGUGAUGGGUUAUGAUAGGAGGUAGGAUCAAGGAUACAGUGAUGGGUUAUGAUAGGAGGUAGGAUACAGUGAUGGGUUAUGAUAGGAGGUAGGAUCAAGGAUACAGUGAUGGGUUAUGAUAGGAGGUAGGAUACAGUGAUGGGUUAUGAUAGGAGGUAGGAUCAAGGAUACAGUGAUGGGUUAUGAUAGGAGGUAGGAUCAAGGAUACAGUGAUGGGUUAUGAUAGGAGGUAGGAUCAAGGAUACAGUGAUGGGUUAUGAUAGGAGGUGGGAUCAAGGAUACAGUGAUGGGUUAUGAUAGGAGGUGGGAUCAAGGAUACAGUGAUGGGUUAUGAUAGGAGGUAGGAUC